rnacentral:piRNA from 1 species
UGGCAAUUUGUUCUAUCUUCUGGCUCCUUC